rnacentral:rRNA from 1 species
AUUGAACGCUGGCGGCAGGCCUAACACAUGCAAGUCGAGCGAGCGGCGGACGGGUGAGUAAUGUCUGGGAAACUGCCUGAUGGAGGGGGAUAACUCCUGGCAACGGUAGCUAAUACCGCAUACCAUCAGAUGUGCCCAGAUGGGAUUAGCUAGUAGUUGGGGUAACGGCUCACCUAGGCGACGAUCCCUAGCUGGUCUGAGAGGAUAGCCAGCGACACUGGAACUGGGACACGGUCCAGACCGCUACGGGAGGCAGCGGUGGGGAAUAGUGCACAAAGGGCGCAAGGCUGAUGCGGCCAGGCCGCGUGUGUGAAGAAGGCCUUCGGGUUGUAGAGCACUUUCAGCGGGGAGGCGUUGCCCGCAGAAGAAGCACCAGCUAACUCCGUGCCAGCAGCCGCGGUAAUAC